AGUGAACGCCGGCGGCAUGCCUUACACAUGCAAGUCGAACGGUAACAGGUCUUCGGAUGCUAACGAGUGGCGAACGGGUGAGUAAUACAUCGGAACGUGCCUAGUAGUGGGGGAUAACUACUCGAAAGAGUGGCUAAUACCGCAUGAGAUCUACGGAUGAAAGCAGGGGAUCGCAAGACCUUGUGCUACUAGAGCGGCCGAUGGCAGAUUAGGUAGUUGGUGGGAUAAAAGCUUACCAAGCCGACGAUCUGUAGCUGGUCUGAGAGGACGAUCAGCCACACUGGGACUGAGACACGGCCCAGACUCCUACGGGAGGCAGCAGUGGGGAAUUUUGGACAAUGGGCGCAAGCCUGAUCCAGCAAUGCCGCGUGCAGGAUGAAGGCCUUCGGGUUGUAAACUGCUUUUGUACGGAACGAAAAGCCCUGGGUUAAUACCCUGGGGUCAUGACGGUACCGUAAGAAUAAGCACCGGCUAACUACGUGCCAGCCGCCGCCGUAAGAC
rnacentral:rRNA from 1 species